rnacentral:rRNA from 1 species
UACAGAGGGUGCAAGCGUUGUUCGGAAUUAUUGGGCGUAAAGGGCGCGUAGGCGGUGCGGUAAGUCUGUAGUGAAAUCUCCGGGCUCAACUCGGAGUCUGCAUCAGAAACUGCCGUGCUCGAGUGUGGGAGAGGUGAGUGGAAUUCCCGGUGUAGCGGUGAAAUGCGUAGAGAUCGGGAGGAACACCAGUGGCGAAGGCGGCCGCCUGGGCAGUAACUGACGCUGAUGCGCGAGAGCGUGGGGAGCAAACAGG